GUUGAUGACUCUCUGGUGACUGUCAAACCUGUGCAGGGAGGAAGCCAAACAUGACACUGUCAGUGCAUGAGGAGGAGGAGCCAUCGGCUGCGCACAAGUGGCAGAGGCCAAGGAGCGAGCUGCAAUGCCGUCCAACCUGGGGCGAAAGGCACACUACACCCUGGAUUUGUCUCCAAUCAAUCAAUCAUUCAGACAGACAACCCAUUCAUUCAUUCACAUUGAAUGGGAAGCGGACCCACACUGCUUGAAGGGAUGUCAAAUGAGUAAACCGCCAUAGAGGAUAAGGCACUUACAAAUGUCAGCAAACAGAUUCUCAGAAUAUUUGUCGAUGCACGUAUGACUUUCUCUCUCUCUCUCACACUUGAACUAUCCCUGACACACAGACAGACAUGUAAACAUCACGCACAAAUUUAACCCACAUGACAUAAAUGUCUUAUGAAGCCCGCCCCAAAAAGUCCUAAUUAGAAUUGAUAAUAUUUAUGUUAUUUCUAAUGGGGUGAUUUGAAGUCAGAAAAUAAUCAAAAGUCGAACUGGACCUGGGAUGGAUUGUGUGUUUGUUGUGAAUAGCACUGUUGAAGAAAGAACUAAGAGCUGAUGAAACAAUGUACUUUUCAUGAAAAAAAAAAGGAUUUGUGUAACUCUGUUUCCAGACGUGCGGCGUGAAAAGAGGAGUCUACUGUCAGAAUGACUUCAAAAAUGACCCCCUUCUAUUCCGCUGUCAUUCUUCAACACAUCACUCAUCGAGGAGGCUCUUGUUCAGUACUUCAAUCAGGGUAACGCACCAGGGGUACAUCUCAUUUUUUGUAGAGUGUGUGUCGUGAUUAUAAUUGGAGUUUAACUUUAGACAUGCGCAAGUACACAGUUAUACUUUUUUUUUUUUUGGAAGCACAAUGGUUUAUCAAAUUCACAUGACUUAGUUCAUUCGGGAACAUACAUGACCCUCUGCGGGACCUGGCACUUACUAAUAAGCACUAAGCACAAAAUAAGCACUAAGCACAUUGCAAACUGAGUGAGAAAACCAAACUUCUAUUGUGCAGCCCUAUUUCUGACAGUGAAGUGAAAUGCAUGCAAUUUGUCAGGCGUCGGUUGAUCUCACUGCACACACAUCCAUAAUGUAUAAUAAAUGAACAUAUCGUUCA